GAUGAAGAACGUAGCGAAAUGCGAUAAGUAAUGUGAAUUGCAGAAUUCAGUGAAUCAUCGAAUCUUUGAACGCACAUUGCGCCCCCUGGUAUUCCGGGGGGCAUGCCUGUUCGAGCGUCAUUUCACCACUCAAGCCUCGCUUGGUAUUGGGCAACGCGGUCCGCCGCGUGCCUCAAAUCGUCCGGCUGGGUCUUCUGUCCCCUAAGUGUUGUGGAAACUAUUCGCUAAAGGGUGUUCGGGAGGCUACGCCGUAAAACAACCCCAUUUCUAAGGUUGACCUCGGAUCAGGUAGGGAUACCCGCUGAACUUAAGCAUAUCAAUAAGCGGAGGA
rnacentral:misc_RNA from 1 species